UACGUAGGUGGCAAGCGUUGUCCGGAUUCACUGGGCGUAAAGCGCGCGCAGGCGGUCUUCUACGUCUGGGGUGAAAACCCGGGGCUCAACCCCGGGACUGCCUUGGAUACGGGAAGACUUGAGGAUCGGAGAGGCAAGGGGAAUUCCACGUGUAGCGGUGAAAUGCGUAGAGAUGUGGAGGAACACCAAUGGCGAAGGCAGCCUUCUGGGCCAACACUGACGCUCAUGCACGAAAGCGUGGGGAGCAAACAGG
rnacentral:rRNA from 1 species